GAUGAACGCUGGCGGCGUGCCUAACACAUGCAAGUCGAGCGAUUCUCUUCGGAGAAGAGCGGCGGACGGGUGAGUAACGCGUGGGUAACCUGCCCUGUACACGCGGAUAACAUACCGAAAGGUAUGCUAAUACGAGAUGAUAUGCUUUUAUCGCAUGGCAGAAGUAUCAAAGCUUUUGCGGUACAGGAUGGACCCGCGUCUGAUUAGCUAGUUGGUAAGGUAACGGCUUACCAAGGCGACGAUCAGUAGCCGACCUGAGAGGGUGAUCGGCCACAUUGGAACUGAGACACGGUCCAAACUCCUACGGGAGGCAGCAGUGGGGAAUAUUGCACAAUGGGCGAAAGCCUGAUGCAGCAACGCCGCGUGAGCGAUGAAGGCCUUCGGGUCGUAAAGCUCUGUCCUCAAGGAAGAUAAUGACGGUACUUGAGGAGGAAGCCCCGGCUAACUACGUGCCAGCCGCCGCAGUAA
rnacentral:rRNA from 1 species